rnacentral:rRNA from 1 species
GUGAGGUAAUGGCUCACCAAGGCAUCGACGGGUAGCUGGUCUGAGAGGACGAUCAGCCACACUGGGACUGAGACACGGCCCAGACUCCUACGGGAGGCAGCAGUAGGGAAUCUUGCACAAUGGGCGAAAGCCUGAUGCAGCGACGCCGCGUGGGGGAUGAAGGCCUUCGGGUUGUAAACCCCUUUCAGUAGGGACGAAAAUGACGGUACCUACAGAAGAAGGUCCGGCCAACUACGUGCCAGCAGCCGCGGUAACACGUAGGGACCAAGCGUUGUCCGGAAUUAUUGGGCGUAAAGAGCUCGUAGGUGGUUCCGUAAGUCGGAUGUGAAAACUCAAGGCUCAACCUCGAGACGCCAUCCGAUACUGCGGUGACUUGAGUUCGGUAGAGGAGUGUGGAAUUCCUGGUGUAGCGGUGAAAUGCGCAGAUAUCAGGAGGAACACCGACAGCGAAGGCAGCACUCUGGGCCGAUACUGACACUGAGGAGCGAAAGCAUGGGGAGCAAACAGGAUUAGAUACCCUGGUAGUCCAUGCCGUAAACGUUGGGCACUAGGUGUGGGGAUUUAUCAACGAUCUCCGCGCCGUCGCUAACGCAUUAAGUG